rnacentral:tRNA from 1 species
ACCGUUUUAGAAACAUCAGUGGCCAACGGUCGUCAGGAUCGUUGAGCUGCAUUGGCGGGAUUUCGCCGUCUUCGUUUCUCUUUCUUCGCGGACGAACACAGCGCUGGGGCUGCAACCUUGCAGAAUCCCUGGUCCUUGACUGGAUAUGCGUUAGGGGCUUGUAGCUCAGUUGGUUAGAGCGCGCGCUUGAUAAGCGUGAGGUCGGAAGUUCAAGUCUUCCCAGGCCCACCACACUCAUCGAGUGAGCAUUCGUCUUCUGGUUACGGGGCCAUAGCUCAGCUGGGAGAGCGCGUGCUUUGCAAGCAUGAGGUCGUCGGUUCGAUCCCGUCUGGCUCCACCAGAUGGUUUGAUCACCGACUACUCAUACCGUCGUCCGCGAAACAUCACUUCGCACUUGCUAGUCCGGAUGGACAGUAAGCUGCGUGAUUUCUGACAUCGUAAAGAGGAGAUCGAUCCGAGUUGGAUCGGGCAACAAGUAAUUGUUGCGCGAUACUUCAUUAUCUCCGGAUCAUUUCGGCGCUCGUGCGUCUUCCAGGGGAGCUCACAAGGCUGCGUCUGAAGGACACGCGAGUUGUAAAUGAUCCUUUUAGCGAAGCUUGACCGCCUCGCUAUCGGAACGAUCUUACGAAGCAAGCUGGUCUUUCUAAUCAUUGUCCGGCUGCAGAUAGCGUUCAUCGAGGGCGCGUGCCUUAGAGACUUAGGUUUCUUGGCAAUUUUGCAGACAACAUUCUGCCGAGUGUGUGGACAUUGAUAAUGAGAGCAAUCAA